AGCUCAGUAAAUGUAUGAACAAUGUUUAGGAAGUUUACUUAUAAGCAACUUAGCAGUAAGUUUACUUUCGUGUUUUACGCAGGGUUUACCUACUCAGUACCACAGGAAAACAUCGUGGAGCUGCAGAGUCUGGAUGAAUUCGAAUCCUGUGAUCUCUCAAAUCCUAUCAAGAUGUACACGGAUGGAUUAAAUCAAAUUCCACUUGAAACUGAAGGGAAUAGGUAUUUUGUGAUUGGGAACCAGGAAAAUUGCGAUAAUGGUCUGAAACUACACGUUGACGUGAAGCCUUCGGAGACGCAGCCGCCGCCUAACCCAUGGCCGGAGCCGUUUCCUAUAUUUUCGCCUCCAACACCGGAGCCUAAGCCAUUUUUGCCGCCGCCUCCGGAACCUAAGCCAAUUUUUCCUCCACCGGUGCCUAAGCCAUCUCCGCCUCCACCGUCUCCGCCUCCGCCAUCUCCGCCUCCGCCUAAGCGAUCUCCUCCUCCACCGUCUCCUCCUCCGCCAUCUCCGCCUCCAGCUUCUCCUCCUCCGCCAUCUCCCCCUCCGCCUAAGCGAUCUCCUCCUCCGCCAUCUCCACCUCCGCCUAAGCCAUCUCCUCCUCCACCGGAGCCGAAGCCAGAGCCCUGGCCUGUGCCACCCUCUGGCUCGACUCAAUUGAAUGGACUUUCCUUUGGUCUGUUUGUUGGGUUUCUACUUUGCUCCUUGGGCCUAUCUACGGGACUGUAGUGGCCCUGUUCCUUAAGGAUAUGUUUGGAUGGUUCAGUAACUAGGAGGUUAGUUAAACUUAUUUAAUUAAUAAACGUUUUUGUCUGUACCAUUAACAAAGACAUUGUGUUGGUUGUGUAUUUGAACCAGUUUUAUUGGGUUCAAUCAUCUAUUUUUGAACUUGUUCUAGUAUUUGCUAAAUGAAUAUGGUCCAUUUUGUGAUGCUCGUUUAUGAAUGGCUAAAUUUCAUUUCACUUGUUUGUGUGAAUAAAUAACUAUUAUUACCUCAUUCAUGACUGUUAAUAUGUAUUUUACCCACCACGUUUGAGUCG
rnacentral:lncRNA from 1 species